GUUUGUGUGUGUGUGUGUUUGUGUGUGUGUCUGUGUGUUUGUCUCUGUGUGUGUGUGUGUGUCUGUGUGUGUGUCUGUGUGUGUGUCUGUGUGUGUGUGUGUGUCUGUGUGUGUGUCUGUGUGUGUGUGUGUGUGUGUGUGUGUGUGUGUGUGUGUGUGUGUGUGUGUGUGUGUGUGUGUGUGUCUGUGUGUGUGUGUGUGUGUGUGUUUGUCUCUGUGUGUGUGUGUGUGUGUGUGUGUGUGUGUCUGUGUGUGUGUGUGUGUGUGUGUGUGUGUGUCUCUGUGUGUGUGUGUUUGUGUGUGAGUGUGUUUGUCUCUGUGUGUGUGUGUGUGUGUACAGUGUGUAGUACAGUGUGUGUGUAGUACAGUGUGUAGUACAGUGUGUGUGUAGUACAGUGUGUAGUACAGUGUGUGUACAGUGUGUGUACAGUGUGUGUACAGUGUGUAGUACAGUGUGUAGUACAGUGUGUGUGUAGUACAGUGUGUGUACAGUGUGUAGUACAGUGUGUAGUACAGUGUGUAGUACAGUGUGUGUACAGUGUGUGUACAGUGUGUGUACAGUGUGUAGUACAGUGUGUAGUACAGUGUGUGUACAGUGUGUGUACAGUGUGUGUACAGUGUGUGUGUGUACAGUGUGUAGUACAGUGUAGUACAGUGUGUUGUACAGUGUGUAGUACAGUGUGUAGUACAGUGUGUAUACAGUGUGUAGUACAGUGUGUAGUACAGUGUGUAUACAGUGUGUAGUACAGUGUGUAGUACAGUGUGUAGUACAGUGUGUAGUACAGUGUGUAGUACAGUGUGUAGUA